rnacentral:rRNA from 1 species
UCUGUCUUAGUGGCGGACGGGUGGAGUAACGCGUGGGCAACCUGCCCCUGUACCGGGGGAGUAACACUUAGAAAUAGGUGCUAAUACCGCAUAAUAGGGAAUACCGCAUGGUAAUCCUUUGAAAACUCCGGUGGUACAGGAUGGGCCCGCGUCUGAUUAGCCAGUUGGCGGGGUAACGGCCCACCAAAGCGACGAUCAGCAGCCGGCCUGAGAGGGUGGACGGCCACACUGGGACUGAGACACGGCCCAGACUCCUACGGAAGGCAGCAG